rnacentral:rRNA from 1 species
AUUGAACGCUGGCGGCAGGCCUAACACAUGCAAGUCGAACGAGUGGCGGACGGGUGAGUAAUGUCUGGGACACUGCCCGAUGGAGGGGGCUAACUACUGGAAACGGUAGCUAAUACCGCAUACCCUCGGAUGUGCCCAGAUGGGAUUAGCUAGUAGGUGGGGUAACGGCUCCCCUAGGCGACGAUCCCUAGCUGGUCUGAGAGGAUGACCAGCCACACUGGAACUGAGCCACGGUCCAGACUCCUACGGGAGGCAGCAGUGGGGAAUAGUGCCAGAUGGGCGCAAGCCUGAUGCGGCCAUGCCGCGUGUAUGAAGAAGGCCUUCGGGUUGAAAAGUACUUUCAGCGAGGAGGCGUUACUCGCAGAAGAAGCGCCGGCUAACUCCGUGCCAGCAGCCGCGGUAAGUC